GAUCAAUUUACCAUUAUAUUUUAUAUGCGUGAGUCACAUAAAACAGUUUCGACUGACUUCAUCACGACUUUAUGUGCUGCACUCAAAAUUUAUUAAUCAUCAACGAUAUUUAAUACUUAUUCAUAUACAAUAUAAAGUUUUUUCUUUUCAACAUGGUGGACUGUUGGCAGUAUGCUGAAAAAUUCUUCUCGCUACAAAAUAAUCUUCGUACGAUUUCCUGCCAUGAACGUGUUCAUGAACGCAGCGCCGCGACACGUCGUAAACAUCACCAAAACUUCCGCUGUGCCAGCGAGUAUGCCAGAAUUUUUCACCAGAAGAUCGACAAUAGAAAUUUUCCGGCGGCGGAAAGAGUUUUUUCGUCAUCAAUAGUGGGGAAUAAAUCAUCAUGUUCUUUCCGCCAUAAUUUCCGUGGCAACUUUGCAAGCGGUGAUUGAUCACAAUAAAACUUGAUGGCGUUCAUUUUGUUUUUGAA